rnacentral:rRNA from 1 species
UACGUAGGCAGCAAGCGUUGUUCGGAAUUACUGGGCGUAAAGAGUGUGUAGGCGGUGCUCUAAGUUCGGUGUGAAAUCUCCCGGCUUAACUGGGAGGGUGCGCCGGAAACUGGAGUGCUCGAGCGUGGGAGAGGAAAGCGGAAUUCCUGGUGUAGCGGUGAAAUGCGUAGAUAUCAGGAGGAACACCUGCGGUGUAGACGGCUUUCUGGACCAUUGCUGACGCUGAGACACGAGAGCGUGGGUAGCAAACAGG